AUCGAUGCUGUUUAGAGGCUCUCAGACUGUACCAAUCGAUGCUGUUUAGAGGCUCUCAGACUGUACCAAUCGAUGCUGUUUAGAGGCUCUCAGACUGAACUAAUCGAUGCUGUUUAGAGGCUCUCAGACUGUACCAAUCGAUGCUGUUUAGAGGCUCUCAGACUGAACUAAUCGAUGCUGUUUAGAGGCUCUCAGACUGUACCAAUCGAUGCUGUUUAGAGGCUCUCAGACUGUACCAAUCGAUGCUGUUUAGAGGUUCUCAGACUGUACUAAUCGAUGCUGUUUAGAGGCUCUCAGACUGUACUAGUCGAUGCUGUUUAGAGGUUCUCAGACUGUACUAAUCGAUGCUGUUUAGAGGCUCUCAGACUGAACCAAUCGAUGCUGUUUAGAGGCUCUCAGACUGUACCAAUCGAUGCUGUUUAGAGGCUCUCAGACUGUACCAAUCGAUGCUGUUUAGAGGCUCUCAGACUGUACCAAUCGAUGCUGUUUAGAGGCUCUCAGACUGUACCAGUCGAUGCUGUUUAGAGGCUCUCAGACUGUACCAAUCGAUGCUGUUUAGAGGCUCUCAGACUGUACUAGUCGAUGCUGUUUAGAGGCUCUCAGACU